rfam:Bacteroides sp. CAG:754 genomic scaffold, scf199
AUGCAAAUCACCUGAUGACUGCUUGUAGGUAUGCGAAUAUAUGUGAGUCAGUGAAUAUGCCUCCCCGGCAUAACAGGAAGA